rnacentral:rRNA from 1 species
GACGAACGCUGGCGGCGUGCUUAACACAUGCAAGUCGAGCGGUAAGGCCCUCGGGUACGACGAGCGGCGAACGGGUGAGUAACACGUGGGUGACCUGCCCUCCACUUCGGGAUAAGCCUGGGAAACCGGGUCUAAUACCGGAUAGGACCUCUGGAUGCAUGUCUGGUGGUGGAUAGUCUGUGUCUUGACUGAUGCUGGCGGGUGGGGAGUGGGCCG